UCGGGAAUUUUGGGCAAUGGGCGAAAGCCUGACCCAGCAACGCCGCGUGAGGGAUGAAGUAUUUCGGUAUGUAAACCUCGAAAGAAUGGGAAGAAUAAAUGACGGUACCAUUUAUAAGCUCCGGCUAACUACGUGCCAGCAGCCGCGGUAAUACGUAGGGAGCAAGCGUUGUUCGGAUUUACUGGGCGUAAAGGGCGCGUAGGCGGCGCGGUAAGUCACUUGUGAAAUCUCUGAGCUUAACUCAGAACGGCCAAGUGAUACUGCUGUGCUAGAGUGCGGAAGAGGCAACCGGAAUUCUUGGUGUAGCGGUGAAACGCGUAGAUAUCAAGAGGAACACCUGAGGCGAAGGCGGGUUGCUGGGCCGACACUGACGCUGAUGCGCGAAAGCCAGGGGAGCAAACG
rnacentral:rRNA from 1 species